rnacentral:tRNA from 1 species
UAACUGUUAGAUUAAUGGUAAAUCAUAGAUCUUACACAUCUAGGUUAAUGGUUCAAUUCCAUUACAGUUAA